rnacentral:rRNA from 1 species
GAUGAACGCUGGCGGCGUGCUUAACACAUGCAAGUCGAACGGAAAGGCUCCUGCUUGCUGGGGUACUCGAGUGGCGAACGGGUGAGUAACACGUGGGUGAUCUGCCCUGCACUUCGGGAUAAGCCUGGGAAACUGGGUCUAAUACCGGAUAGGACGAUGUUUUGGAUGCCAUUGUGGAAAGUUUUUCGGUGUGGGAUGAGCUCGCGGCCUAUCAGCUUGUUGGUGGGGUAAUGGCCUACCAAGGCGUCGACGGGUAGCCGGCCUGAGAGGGUGUACGGCCACAUUGGGACUGAGAUACGGCCCAGACUCCUACGGGAGGCAGCAGUGGGGAAUAUUGCACAAUGGGCGCAAGCCUGAUGCAGCGACGCCGCGUGGGGGAUGACGGCCUUCGGGUUGUAAACUCCUUUCGCUAGGGACGAAGCGCAAGUGACGGUACCUGGAGAAGAAGCACCGGCUAACUACGUG